rnacentral:rRNA from 1 species
CGGCGGACGGGUGAGUAACGCGUGGGUAACCUGCCUCAUACAGGGGGAUAACAGUUAGAAAUGACUGCUAAUACCGCAUAAGACCACAGCACCGCAUGGUGCGGGGGUAAAAACUCCGGUGGUAUGAGAUGGACCCGCGUCUGAUUAGCUGGUUGGUAAGGUAACGGCUUACCAAGGCGACGAUCAGUAGCCGACCUGAGAGGGUGACCGGCCACAUUGGGACUGAGACGCGGCCCAA